AUUGAACGCUGGCGGCAGGCCUAACACAUGCAAGUCGAGCGAGCGGCGGACGGGUGAGUAAUGUAUGGGGACUGCCCGAUAGAGGGGGAUAACUACUGGAAACGGUGGCUAAUACCGCAUAUUAUCGGAUAACCCAUAUGGGAUUAGCUAGUAGGCGGGGUAAAGGCUCACCUAGGCGACGAUCUCUAGCUGGUCUGAGAGGAUGACCAGCCGCGCUGGGACUGAGACACGGCCCAGACUCCCACGGAGGCGGCAGUGGGGAAGAUGGCACAAUGGACUCAAGCCUGUUGCAGCCAUGCCGCGUGUAUGAAGAAGGCCUUAGGGUUGUAGAGUACUUUCAGCAGGAAGGCGUUACCCGCAGAAGAAGCACCGGCUAACUCCGUGCCAGCAGCCGCGGUAAUUC
rnacentral:rRNA from 1 species